rfam:Trichobilharzia regenti genome assembly, scaffold: TRE_scaffold0046292
GUACUGCUGAAGAGUCCCGAACGAGGACGAAACAGUUGUUCAGUAC